CCAGCAGGUAACCUAGUGAUUAGAGCGUUGGACUAGUAACCAGCAGGUAACCUAGUGAUUAGAGCGUUGGACUAGUAACCAGCAGGUAACCUAGUGGUUAGAGCGUUGGACUAGUAACCAGCAGGUAACCUAGUGAUUAGAGCGUUGGACUAGUAACCAGCAGGUAACCUAGUGAUUAGAGCGUUGGACUAGUAACCAGCAGGUAACCUAGUGAUUAGAGCGUUGGACUAGUAACCAGCAGGUAACCUAGUGAUUAGAGCGUUGGACUAGUAACCGGAAGGUUGCAAGAGCGAAUCCCUGAGCUGACAAGGUAAAAAAAAAAAUCUGUUGUUCUGCCCCCUGAACAAGACAGUUAACCCACUGUUCCUAGGCUGUCAUUGAAAAUAAGAAUUUGUUCUUAACUAACUUUUGCCUAGUUAAAUAAAAAUUAAUUGCGAAGAGCGAUGUACCAUUUACACUAUAUUGUUCCCCUUUAUCAGCUGACAUCGUCAUAGAAACUGAGAACACAUCCUGCCUAAAGCCAGAUCUGAUAGUAACUGAAGUCGUCAGGUACAGAUGAAUGUCCACAACUACAUGAUUCCUCUUUAGACACGUCCUUAGUAAAGACAGUAUUUCAUUGCUGUUACUACUAGUUCUAGCCUGCUUCUCAGCAGAGAGAGAGAGAGCUGUUUGAGGCCACAACUCUCUCUCUCUCUCUCUCUCUCUCUGUCUCUCUGUCUCUCUGUGUCUCUCUGUGUCUCUGUCUGUGUCUCUCUGUGUCUCUCUGUGUCUCUCUGUGUCUCUCUGUGUCUCUCUGUGUCUGGUAGCUAGAUGGAAAGACAUGGGACCUUUUCUCUACAAGACUCCAGUAGUCUGACAAGGUAUUUAUCAUAAGUGGGUACAGAACAUUCUGCUCUUGCAGAAGAAACACAUCCUUCAUCAGUCUCGGGCGACUAAUAUUUUACCUUUUUGAUUUUAGCACCAUUAAGCUGAAAUUACCCACAAGACAACAAGAGGUCUCUACCUCCAUAUCUCUUAAUGAUAACCUGCUCACAAGACAACAAGAGGUCUCUACCUCCAUAUCUCUUAAUGAUAACCUGCUCACAAGACAACAAGAGGUCUGGGAAGAGGUCUCUACCUCCAUAUCUCUUAAUGAUAACCUGCUCACAAGACAACAAGAGGUCUGGGAAGAGGUCUCUACCUCCAUAUCUCUUAAUGAUAACCUGCUCACAAGACAACAAGAGGUCUGGGAAGAGGUCUCUACCUCCAUAUCUCUUAACGACGGCCUGCGCAGCUUCUAUAACCACAGCGGGAGGGUGGUCCUGUGUCUUUGCGAGGAUUUGGUUUCCUAUGGUUACCAUGGCAGCAAGACGCUCUGUUACCUCAUGCUCCAUAAUGAUGUCAGCAGGUGACUGUGGUCCAGAAUGAAACCCUAGUUUCUGUAGUCCACUGCCCUGUUCCAAAGUAGUGGACUUUAAAAUGAAGUAGGGUGCCAUUUCAGAUAUAUACAAUACACUGAACUGUGUUCAUAAUAUCCACUACAGUAGACUGUGUUCAUAACAGUAGACUGUGUUCAUAACAGUAGACUGUGUUCAUAACAGUAGACUGUGUUCAUAACAGGAGACUGUGUUCAUAAUGUCCACUACAGUAGACUGUGUUCAUAACAGUAGACUGUGUUCAUAAUGUCCAGUACAGUAGACUGUGUUCAUAAUGUCCACUACAGUAGACUGUGUUCAUAACAGUAGACUGUGUUCAUAAUGUCCAGUACAGUAGACUGUGUUCAUCACAGUAGACUGUGUUCACAAUGUCCAGUACAGUAGACUGUGUUCAUAACAGUAGACUGUGUUCAUCACAGUAGACUUAGGACUUUACAGUAGACUGUGUUCAUAAUGUCCAGUACAGUAGACUGUGUUCAUAAUGUCCAGUACAGUAGACUGUGUUCAUAACAGUAGACUGUGUUCAUAAUGUCCAGUACAGUAGACUGUGUUCAUAAUGUCCAGUACAGUAGACUGUGUUCAUAAUGUCCAGUACAGUAGACUGUGUUCAUAAUGUCCACUACAGUAGACUGUGUUCAUAAUGUCCAGUACAGUAGACUGUGUUCAUAACAGUAGACUGUGUUCAUAACAGUAGACUGUGUUCAUAUGUGUCAACGAGGGCCUCUGAAGUCCAUACCAACGAUCACAUGAUAAUUCCUCUAUGCUCUAUUUGAGGAAUCCUGUAGGAAUGUUGCAGUCCUCCACCGUGUUAAGUUUGGUCGUCUUGAUCCUCGUUUGAUCACACAAGAUGUAGAAAACACUGCUGCUAGCAGAAAUCUGUGGCUGGACGUUUCCAUCCGGGGCAGAAAUCUGUGGCUGGACGUUUCCAUUUGAAGCAGAAAUCUGUGGCUGGAAGUUUCCAUUCGAAGCAGAAAUCUGUGGCUGGAAGUUUCCAUUCGAAGCAGAAAUCUGUGGCUGGAAGUUUCCAUCCGGGGCAGAAAUCUGUGGCUGGAAGUUUCCAUCCGGGGCAGAAAUCUGUGGCUGGAAGUUUCCAUCCAGGGCAGAAAUCUGUGGCUGGAAGUUUCCAUUUGAAGCAGAAAUCUGUGGCUGGAAGUUUCCAUCCGGGGCAGAAACAUGUGGCUGGAAGUUUCCAUUCGAAGCAGAAAUAUGUCUCCAAACUGUACUGUGAAGUAUCGUCUCUGAGACCAAGUGGUCUACGGGCUAAGCCAACAUACUGUAUGCUCUAGUAUCAACAUGGGGAAUACACAGUAUAUCUGAGGUGAUUCUUAUCGAAUGGUACAUUAUCCUCUAGCAUUACCCCCCCCUCCCCCUCCCCCUCCUCCCUUUAGAGUGGUAGAAUGAUUCCCAAUCAGAGUUGAAUCACUGAUUAAUUGAUCACCCUGUGUGUCUCUGUACCGCCCUGUAAACAUACCAACAGAACCUGCCUUCUAAAUGGGGUGGACGUGGGGUUGAAGCGUUGGUUUGCGGUAAGAGUAGAGUAACGAUAACGCUGUUCGUUCUUGGCCGAUGUCAUCACACCGGCUUUAACCCGGUACCUGCUUUGGAGGGGAAAAACAAGAACCCUUUUUUAGAGUCUAAAUGAUGUCUUCUAUAAUAUUGACGUAUAUUUGUCCCGGUAUGUACAGUAUAUACCACAGCUAGGCUGCCGUGGAACCAUAAUGUGUAUACGUCUCAAUGAAACUCAGUCACUAUGUUGAGGUAUUCCAGCAGUACAGUUCCCUGCUAACAUUAAUGUACAGUAUAUACCACAGCUAUGCUGCUGUGGAACCAUAAUGUGUAUACGUCUCAAUGAAACUCAGUCACUAUGUUGAGGUAUGUACAGCUCCCUGCUAACAUUAAUGUACAUAAUGCCAGAAAUGUACAGUUGUCCCUGGUCUGGUCUGAUGUGUCUCUCAGCUCCAUCUUACCUUUUUUUUUUUUUUUUAAUGU
ensembl:lncRNA